rnacentral:rRNA from 1 species
GUCUACAGCCAUACCAACCUGAAUGUGCCUGAUCUCAUUUGAUCUCAAAAGCUAAGCAGGGCUGGGCCUGGUUAUCUGCUAAGGUCAUAUAGCUAAUGUAGACU